rnacentral:rRNA from 1 species
UACAGAGGUCUCAAGCGUUGUUCGGAUUCAUUGGGCGUAAAGGGUGCGUAGGUGGCGGGGUAAGUCAGGUGUGAAAUUUCGGAGCUCAACUCCGAAACUGCAUUUGAUACUGCCUUGCUUGAGGACUGGAGAGGAGACUGGAAUUCACGGUGUAGCAGUGAAAUGCGUAGAUAUCGUGAGGAAGACCAGUGGCGAAGGCGGGUCUCUGGACAGUUCCUGACACUGAGAAGCGAAAGCAUGGGGAGCAAACAGG